rnacentral:misc_RNA from 1 species
GUCGUAACAAGGUAGCCGUAUCGGAAGGUGCGGCUGGAUCACCUCCUUUCUGGAAAACUACAUUCAAUAUUGAACGCCCACACUUAUCGGUUGUUGGAACAAGCCACAGGCCUGCGAAGAGAUUCGCAAAUUUGUGGAAUGGGUCUGUAGCUCAGCUGGUUAGAGCACCGUCUUGAUAAGGCGGGGGUCGUUGGUUCGAGCCCAACUAGACCCACCAAAUUCCAAUUGCUAGAUAAGUGAGAGGACACUGGGGGAUUAGCUCAGCUGGGAGAGCACCUGCUUUGCAAGCAGGGGGUCGUCGGUUCGAUCCCGUCAUCCUCCACCAACAACAAGAUUCGGAAUUCAACACCAAAGCGGCUUUGCAAAAGGCCUCUUUGUUGUUGAUCAAUAUCGAUUGAUCAAUCGGCUGUUCUUUAAAAAUUCAUAGAGUCGAAUCAGAGUUGUCAGAGGAAAUUGCACAUUCGUAAAGGUUUAGUGCAGACCGUGCCUCUGAUGACAAUUUUUUGAUUGCGUCAAAACGAAUAUUCAAUAAGCGAAAGCUAGUUGAAAUUCAGUAAUGACGAAUGUUCUCAGAUGAAAGGCAGAAAUGUCUGGAGUCGAAGAAUUAUUCACAUUGCGGCAUAACGCGUCAGGUGAAAGACCUGACAAGUCCUUGAGAUGACGGCGAUAUCUUGCAAGAGAUGUCAAAGUUAUAGGGUCAAGUGACUAAGAGCAUGUGGUGGAUGCCUUGGC